rnacentral:rRNA from 1 species
UACGAAGGGUGCAAGCGUUACUCGGAAUUACUGGGCGUAAAGGGUGCGUAGGUGGUCGUUUAAGUCCGUUGUGAAAUCCCUGGGCUCAACCUGGGAACUGCAUUGGUGACUGGCAGGCUUUGAGUGUGGCAGAGGGAGGUAGAAUUCCACGUGUAGCAGUGAAAUGCGUAGAUAUGCGGAGGAACACCGAUGGCGAAGGCAAUCCCCUGGGCCUGCACUGACGCUCAUGCACGAAAGCGUGGGGAGCAAACAGG